rnacentral:misc_RNA from 1 species
GCAAAACCGGGAAAUUUUCUCCUUGACAUUCUCUUCUAGUUCCGUUGUGCUCCGGCAUGCUAAUAUGUUGGGAGUCAAUCCCAGGCUUCUCAAACCUCUAACACUGUGCUGAGUAGGUUUUGUUUUCUGCUCACCAACUACACUCAAAACAGGAACAAGGCUAACAUGUAUCAAGCAAAAAUUACCAGCACCUACACGAUAUGAGAAUUGUCCUAAUGCUUCAAUAAAUGGCAUUGAUUCAAU